rnacentral:misc_RNA from 1 species
UAGCAAUCCCGUAGGCACUUGAGU